rnacentral:rRNA from 1 species
AGUGAACGCUGGCGGUAGGCCUAACACAUGCAAGUCGAACGGCAGCACAGUAAGAGCUUGCUCUUACGGGUGGCGAGUGGCGGACGGGUGAGGAAUACAUCGGAAUCUACUUUUUCGUGGGGGAUAACGUAGGGAAACUUACGCUAAUACCGCAUACGACCUACGGGUGAAAGCAGUGGAUCUUCGGACCUUGCGCGAUUGAAUGAGCCGAUGUCGGAUUAGCUAGUUGGCGGGGUAAAGGCCCACCAAGGCGACGAUCCGUAGCCGGUCUGAGAGGAUGAUCAGCCACACUGGAACUGAGACACGGUCCAGACUCCUACGGGAGGCAGCAGUUGGGAAUAUUGGACAAUGGGCGCAAGCCUGAUCCAGCCAUACCGCGUGGGUGAAGAAGGCCUUCGGGUUGUAAAGCCCUUUUGUUGGGAAAGAAAAGCAGCAGGUUAAUACCCCGCUGUUCUGACGGUACCCAAAGAAUAAGCACCGGCUAACUUCGUG